AAAACCAGCACAAGUAAAUCCCUUCGGCUCUGUGUUUACGGACACAGACGGCUUUAUCUGCACUAAUGCCAUCAACAUUUAAAGCAGGAAACUUUAUUUCCAAGAACUAAACCUUUUCACACAAUAUGUGAAGGCUGAGAGAUUUGAGAAGAAUAAGAGAACAAUUGACUGAAACAAAAAGAAAUGUAUGAGAAGGUGGAGGGGCAGAGGAUCAGACAGACGGGAGGAACCAAGACUCAUUUACACAGAUGAACAUGUGGACGAAAGUCAGUUCGUCAGAUAUGGAGAACUGUCCCUUGUCUCGGCUCACAGAUCAGAGGCUUCUGUUCUGGCCUGCAUCAACUUUUCCUGCAUUAAAACUCUCGGGUCUGAAAGAACUUUCCAAAGCCUUCUGAUGGCAUUCAGCAUUCGCCACGGGGGAAAAUAACAAGCUGGUUGCUCACUUUGUGACCUGCUGGAUGAGGUGGUUCCAGGUGCACCUGUCGUAGGCCUACUCUUCCUCCAGGCUGGGAACAUUGCCCCCUUGUAGUGCCUGAACUUCGGCUGAGUCGGGUGGCAGCCUCCCAUUUGUUAAAUGCUACAUGAGGUGACUGGAGCUUCUCUGCCCGUCGCUGAGAGGACAGAUGGAGAGGGCACGGAAUGUUCUGGAGAGCCGAUGGUAAUUACAAGCCAGUAGCAGAGCCGAUGGCUUCCGCAGGGAACAGGCCUGAGCGGAAGCGCUCGAGUGGCGUGGGGGGUUGUUUGCCCUUUGGCUGCUCAGCAUGCUGUUGCUCUGCGCGGUGAGCUCGUGUUGGGACUGCCGUCACUGCACAUUUCUCCGCUCUUCAUGUCAGGUGAGGUGUGUGUGGGAACAUGGUGACAUUUGUGAGCUUUUGUCAUUCACAAGGAGUUUAACUCUUCAGAUGUGUUUCCAGUUCUAUUCGUUUCAGUAGAUAACUGAUGGAAGUCGCAGAUGUGUACAAAAGAAUUUUAUGGAUCAGUCCACCCAAAAAUAAAAUAAUUAUCAUCAUUUACUCAUGUCGUGAUCAAAAGUGAUAUUUACAGUGAGUUUUCUUCAUACAUCAUAUCUCUCAUUUUAUAUUCUCUGACACUUGUCUCCUUGGUAACCAAGUACACUAACUUUUAAAAACUUACAGUAUUUAAUGACAUUAUUGUUGUUUGUGUACACCAAUUGUAUAUAAAUCAUAAAUUUGUUGAUUAUUUUUAUUUCACUUUUUUUCCACUCAAUUCUGAUACUUAAUUCUGAUUUUUUUUUAUGGAUUUAUUAUAGUUUAAUAUAAGGCUACAACAAUAAAAUCACAUUUAAUCAUUUAAUAAUAUUUCUAUUCAUUGGAUUUUAUAAUUCAUAAUUGUAACCUUGUACUUCACAACUGCAACCUUUUUCACGUCAUAUAUUAAGCUUUCUCACAAUAACUAAUAUUUCUUAAAAUUGUGACUUUAUAUCUCAUAACUCUGUCUUUUUCCCAUAUUUUAAAAGUUUUAUAUUUCAUUUCUUUUAAUAAUAUAAAAUAGAUUUGAAAUGUAGCAACAAUGAAUGAGGGCAUACUAAAAUAUUUCAGUGCCUUGUAAACUUUUUAUCAUGAAUCCAUCAUUACUACCCAUGUAUACAUUUUUAUUUGUCAGUUUUAUUAUUUUACCCUUGUCCCUGACUUUCAGUCUUAACUAUAACAAGCCAUUAUAAAAAUAUGAAUUAAUAAAUAUUUAAAACUAUGAUGUGAACAAAGAGUUAAAUAAAAAUAAUCCAUUUUGAUGUUUAUUGUGUAAAAAUUACUUUAUGAUUUUUUUUUUACACAAAUUAUGACUGUACCUCAUUUGUGGUGCCCACAAACAAGUUAUUUUGUAGUUACUGUACUUGGUUACAAUAGAGACAAAAUUGUUUCAAUGUAACCUUUAUAAAAAGGGGGCAUUAAAUCUGUUAGUUUUAAUAAAACCAAACCUUAAGAUAUAAAAAGUGCAAGAAGUUGGAGAAACACCCUUAUAUCUUUUCACAUCUGAUCAGUCAUCUGCUCAACAUCUCAAGAGCGUCCUGUCUGCAGGUGAUUAAUUACUUUGUCAGCCGUCAGUCUCAGAAAAUGAGAGGUGAGGGGGAAAAAAGAAGAAAAGGGAGGAGUAUGAGGGAAAGUGAGCGGGCACAGCUUUGCAGGAUGCUGAAAUGUAGCUCUGCAAUCCCCAUAGGGCUCAUAUUAAUGAGGGUGCAGAGAAAGUUAACAACUCACAUUAAGCACUAAUGCAUUCUUUAAUUAAUUAAGUGCUCAUUUAUAAAUAUCCAACACAUCCUGUACACGUUCAAUCUGACUUAACAAUAACAUAUUAACGAUUCCUGUUCCAGGCAUAACAUAUUUAAAUGUCAUUGAUACUCCAACAGCUAGAUAAACAUACUCUGAAACUCUAUUAACAGCAUUAGGUGAUGUCUGGAGCAGCACGAAUUCCCCUGCAAUUCUCUCAUAAUUACAAAUUAAUUUCACAUUUAAUGUAUGAACACAGCCAUGGUGAAAUUUAGUUAAUUAGUUGAUUAAAAUGCAUAGUUCAAAGUAAAAACUGAGCAAUUUUGAGCCAUUUAGUGAAUCAUUUUGUAGUUAUUGGACAGCUUUAACACUCUUCCUUUUCAUUAUUUUAUAAGCAGGUUCUUAGACCUGGAUGAUGCAGUUAAGACUCAAAUGUGUGCAAUACUAUAGAAAAUGCCUUUAUUAUCAUUACUGUUUGAUAAAGCGGCCACAUUCAGCUCAGACAGAACUGCCAGCGCAAAUGUAAGUAACCUAUCACACACACACACACACACACACACACACACUGAGCUUUGAGGUGAGUGUUAAUCUCUGAGGUGUGUUAGGAAAGCACAGAAGGAAGGAGAUAUCAAAUAAAGCUCAUGUAAAAAUAUUCUAGAGAAAUGAUUUACUAAAAAGCAUCCUAGUAAAAUUUAGAUAAGUAAAAACUCCAUGUGCCAUUCCAGUUUUAGCCCAAUACGAUGGGUUUCAUGAGAAGGAUAACAUGAUAAAGACGUGUUUGAACAUAUAAUCUCUGAGGAAAGAUUCCUCUGGGUUAAAUUCAAAAGAAUCACUUUAUGCACAUCGUUUUUCUCAGCAAAAGCAGGAAUACAUCUCUCACAUAGCUCUCUCAUACCUUAAUACUGAGACAAAGAAACACAUACAAGCUGCUAAAAAUAAACUGGCAUGCAUAGUCAGAAUGUUGACAAUAAAACCAAAAAAACACCCCUCAGGAUGUUAACAAUCCCGACACUCGAAAAUAAAAGCAACCCUGUUAAUAAAACGCUUCGUUUCCAGACAAAAUGCUUAACAGCCGUCUCUCAGAGUCGGUUUCAACAUGUUUGAAAUCAAUCAGAAUAUUUAAACCCGUGGAAGCAGACAAUCUGUGUAGAGCUGCGCACCUCCUCAUUGGAGAGGAACUUCACUUUUGGCACAGUGUGUUUCAUUUUUCAUGAAGCUGCACCUCCUUGUUCCCUGCAGGCGUCUCCUCGGUGUUCUUGCUGAAUGUGUGUGUGCUGAACAAAAGCCUUGGUUGUUUACGUCAAGGUAUCUCCUUGCGGUUGGGUGAUGAAGAGCAGGUGGCCUCAUUUGCAGAGAGCACUUCCUCAGAAGCAGCACCUUCACUGCCUCCUCUUCCUCCACGUGGCUGUCGGGCAGGCGAGGGCGAUUGCGUUCCCCUCCCGCGCCGUGCCGCCUGUCCGCCUGUGGGACCUGCUCCGUGGGCUUUUCAUCAGCUGCCAUUUUCACCAGCAUGCAGUAAUUUCAUGGCUCAUUGCAAGCGCUGAAAACCUUUGAAACUGCAAAUGUUAACUUUUGCCUGGCCCGGAGCCAUUUAGAAAGCGAUUAAUUCGGCAAACAGACGUGAGCCACUUUCUCCUCCCAAGUUUUCGCAUAAUUUUCCAACCCUUUCUAUCUGGGAUUUGCAUUGCAGGGAACUCGCAGGACAAGGAUAAUAACCAUUCCUGUUAAUUGUGGUUUGGUGAAGAAACAAGGCCUGUCGCUCUGCAGUCUGAUCUACCCGGCUGUCCCAAUCCAGUCCAAACAGGGAGAAUGAACAGAGAAUCGGAUCGAGAAUCAGAGAAAACUGUGUACAAGACUCUUUGAAGGGAGUGGAUAGGACGAAAUGCUGUUGAGGGACUGACAUUGAGAAACAUUUCUGGAUGGCAUGAAGGUUGAUGUGGCUGGCCUCCAAAAUCAUCGUGCCUGAGACCACACAGAUGGGGAUGAGAUAAAACUUCUGGGCGGGGCUAGUGAGCCACCUGUGGCAGUGACAUCAGCACGGCAGAGAUCAGGGGCCCUGUGGUCUCCAUCCCCCACAUCCACCUCGUGUCCUUUUAUCUGUGAUCAUGUAUCACCUGCAGCUACACGUCCAGCUGGAGGAGACAGAUUUCAUCUGUCAUCUGUGAGUGGAUCUCAAUACCCAGAACUAAGUCUGUCCAGAAGUCCAUGUCCAGCGGCCGGCCUGCCAGAGCUAAUCUCACAGAUGAAGCGUCUCCUUUUCUGCUCAGUCAUGUACCUGUGCGGGAGGGGGAAAGAGACGAGGAGGCCUCACGAUCAAAUUAAUCUCCUAUUAGAACAUGCAUCUGGGGUUAAAGAAAACUAACAGCAUGGGUGGAUGAGUUGUUGCGCAGAGAAGAAAGACAUGGAGAAGAAACCACAACCAAACUUCAUCAGUUCUCGCAUAUAUCGCCAACAUGCCAGCUCAAGACAGCAAAACACAAACCGAAGACGAGCUUCAAAAUGGAGGGACUGAAAAGAGGAAAGGAUGAGUGCAGAGAAAACAAAGAAACGGAGGAAGAAGGGAAGAAAAAGGCAGAGAGAAGAAGCCCGUGAUGGAGGCGCCCUCCACCUCACACAGAUUUGUACCUGUCAGUCAAAUUGCGGGACCAACACGAGGCGCUGUGGCGGCGAGAAUAAGAUCCAACGCAUGCCAAGGUCCUGAGGGAUUGAGCUGUGGUGUGAAAUUAAUCUGGAGUUCACAAUUUAGCUGGACUCUCUGAAUUUAUGCUCAAAGAAGCCUCAACAUCUGGCUAUUUUUGGAGUGUUUUGGCAUGAGAAGUGCCAAAAGCAGAACUUUAGGAAUUUCUGCAGCUCCUUUUGACUGAAUGAGAUGUCUCAUGAUAGACCUUUCUGUACAGUAUGUAUCAUGAAACAUCACAGAAUUCUUUGAAUUCUUUGUUAAAACCAAACCAUGUUUCUGCUGUUGUUUUCUCCCCCACCAAAAAUGAUGACACUUUUAUAAGAUCUUAUAAAUUUCAUUAACUUUCUGCUGUUUUUUUUU
ensembl:lncRNA